AUGGAUGAGUUUUAUUCACCAGGCUGCUUUGUGUCUCUCUGUCCCUGGGGCAGCUGACCCCAGAGCAAACGCUGCUUCCCAGGAGCCAUUACCCACCCUCGUAAUGGAGCUCAUUUAGUGUUUGGGUAAAAACAUAAGACAAGGCCUUGAUUGGGCAGGCUGUGGUUCUUAGAGUGACAGGGCCCAGAUGGAACGACUAGGCCCAGAAAGGCAGUUCCCUAUCCACUUGAGAUGUCUGCAACAUGUGAUUUCAAAUAAUGACAUUUUAGCAGUUGCAAUGACUUCAUUAUCAUCCAGCUUGGCAGCAGCUUUAUAAUUUAUUUUGCACUCUUCGUUGGUAAUCUGAUCUGAAAACCGAACAAGAUGCUUGAAAAUGUUUUUUGUCUGGAAGCUGCCCUUUGUAUCCCAGGAAGCUGCCUUAUCACAUUGCCUCAGAACUGGCUCCGCUGACUGGCAUUAGCUAUCUUUUCCAUCUCUAACUGAAUAUGCUCCAACAUUCCUCAGAUGAAAAUAGGGACACUUCCCACUCUGCCCCCACCCCCUCAAACUGAUCCUCCUUGACCUCCCAUUUUUUGAAUCGCCUGCCCCAGACAGAGCAUUUCCUCUCAGAAAAAGGGCGAGUGCCACCACCACUAAGGCAACAGGACGCAACGUGCACAUCCUCCAACGUCCUGAGAAAACCCGUUAAUCCCGAUUUUAUUUUAUUCUUUGGUAGAUUUGCAAAAAGAAAGACGCACACUGAUAAGGGAGGAGGCCAGUGGCAGUGGAGAGGCAAAAGGAUGCUCCUUUGCAGUCGCAGCUGCCGCCAUCAUCGUCGCUCAGGACAAGCGCUGGCUCACCCUCCUCCCCAAGCUUGGCAGUGGUGCGGGCAGGGGAAAUAGGGACAUUCCAGGAUCCAAUCAGAAACUGGAUGGCUUUUUGUAAUAACAAGACUGUCCCUGGGAAAUCGGGAUACUUGGAGGACUGUUUGAAGCAUUCAGUCCAGCCACUCUACAAUAUUAACAGAUGCAAAGUCAGACAGAAAACCUAUUGAUCAAAAGUGAUAUAUCCAGAAGCAACAUACUGUUUACAGCAAUGGCUGGACAUAUGCAUGCAGUUCAGUAUAUGAAUGCUUGCACACAUCUCAACAUAUGCACCAACAGAACGAGCACACCUA